rnacentral:sRNA from 1 species
UCCCUGGGAAACGCUCAGGACUGUACUUGGGUCCCAGACAUCCAAUGUUGUCACUGGCGGGAGAAUAAAGACCUUCCAUUGCCUUGGCCCUGCACCCAGGUGGUCUUCUCUGGUGGGUAUGUCACAACAGUGGGAACCACGGAAACUUCGUCCCAGGAGAGAAGGCUGCCGACGAAGGAACUGCACCCAGGAACAGCUUGGGGAAAUGAGGACAGUGGUUCCCAUGGCAAACAAACUUCAUAUUCCAGGUCAGGCCAGGGUCCUGCAGCACUGUUCGAGGGUGAAAGGUGGGAUGCCCAGCUGGGUCCUCGGGCCCAAGGCUGGCACCUGGCCCACUUGGGAAUGCAUCUCUGUCGGCUCCCCGGAUCCUGUUUCCUUACAUGACUCCUACCCUUGCUUCUCAGCCGCCCAACAAUAAAAGGAGGCAUAUGGUAACCACGCAAGUGCUCUUGACUGGCACGGCGAUGGAAUAAUUAAUUGAUUAAUCACUCUGCCGAGUAAGUGCCAGCCAAGCAUAAGUCCGUGUCUUUUUUUCUCUGCUUCUUUCUUGUCAGAGUGGGAAUGGCGCUGGAGCUGCUGGGAAGCCUGUUUGAGACUGCUGCUGUCAAAAUUGAGCAUUGUUGGGCUGUCUGAGGUUGCGAAGGGGGCUUGUCUAAGGAGGAGAGAUAAGUUUGCCCAGUUGUCUCAAGACACCCUGGCAUUCAUCAGAUGCACAUCACCUGAACCAUUUUACCAAAGACCACAUCACCCCAGAACAGCAGCACUGAGAACUGAGCAAGAAGACAUGGACAGCGUCAGACCUCCGUCUACGAAAACGGCGUGGGGUGGGAGCUCACGGAAGGCUCUCCAGCCAGGAGCCUUGGCACCCGCAAUGCUUAAGGCUGUAGAUUCAGGGGUGGCUGACGGGGCUGAUGGGCAGCAGCCUCCAGCAGGCUCCUGGCAGAGACAUCUAACAGAACCAAUAAAUAACGCAGGCAGGUGUGUAUCACACAAG